CCCCAUUCCCCUCCCCCUCCUCGCCCUCGGCCAACCAACGGUCGCCCCGGCCGCUCGCCCGCCUCCCAGGACAGCCCGCGGUGGGUUUCGCGUCUCCGUGGAGACCAACCAAGCGCAGGAGCCAGGAUGGAGCCGGAAGGAGCCCAGGUGCCGAGCAGCGGAGAGGCCGCCCAGAGCAGCACGGAGGAGCCCCGCGGGAGCCCGGCGGAGACGGCCCCGUGUCCCGUGGAGAUGCCGCCGGAGCCCGAGGCAGAGCCGCAGGCCGGAGCCACGGUCCCGGUGGAGCUACCGCCCUGUCACGGCGUGCCGGGGCCCUACCUGGGGGGGCUGCCGGCCGUCGAUCUGCAGCCGCUCCCGCUCUGCGUCCCGGAGCCGCCGAGGGAGCCGCCCACCCGCGGCCAGUGCCUGAUGCACAACUGGCAGGAAGAGAGAGCCACCAACGAUUUGGACCUUGUGCCAAGACCCGAGUGUGGCACCGAGGGGUCCUUCCACCGGCACGGGCAUCCUGGCCUCCUCACCCUUGACUUCCUAGCCGGCAUGCCCACGACCACCACCAUGAAGGACUCCUACCCUCGUCCCGUGAAGACAGGGCUCCCUGUGCGAGGGAAGUGAGAGGCCAUGAUGGAGCAUCUUCUGUACCAGAAACACAGAGCCACUUGCCCCGUUGCAGAUCAAACCUUGACCCAGAGAUAGAGGACCCUGGGGGUACUCAAGGCCACAGAGCUGCAGAAGACAAGAAGACCUCCACCUUAGCCGUUCUGAGCACUGUGCUUCUGUGUCAGAUUGCUGGGCAUGCAGGGUGGAUGCCAUGGCACAAACCAGCAAGGGCUGUGCCAGCCCUUUGCACAACCUUUCCCUGUGCCAGAGGGGAGAUCCUGCCCCUCGGCUGCGGUGUUUGGACAACAAAGGAGGCAGCCAAGUUAGAACUUGGCAUACAGCCCCAUGACUACCAGCUGGAACAACUGCAGACAUUCUGGCUCGAACAUGCCCAGCAGGUGCCGGGCACCUCCAGCAUCCAGACUGGUGACACCCCUUUCAGGAAGUGUGCAACUUUCACAACUCCCAUGUCCAAAUACCUUGACCAACUACCCCAAGCUGUGAACGCUAUCUUGCCACUAUCUGGGCUGGUUGGGAAAAACCAAGCUUAUGCAGGUGGGGGGGAUGCAGAGUCCCCUCCUCAAAGUGUUGAUUUCCCUGUUAAAUUCCUGCAAGAGCUGAAGGCCCAACCGCCAGAGUCAUUUCCAGGAAGCUUCCUUACAGUUCCCCUGCCACAAAAGCAGCCGGGGCUGGGCAGAGCCGUUUGCCAUCCUUUCUCUUGCUAAAUGGAAGGGGAGGGGGCUAUUCUCCCCUCCCCUUUCUGUUUGGACAAGACUGCUUGCCUGAUUCCGGGAUUUGCAACCAGAGGGGGAAAAUGAGCAGCAGGGCUGGAAGACUGGCUCAGCCUGCUGAGCCAAGGGGUGGGGGUGCAUCGAUUGGGACCAGGAGCCCCAGCUGGGCAAAGGGCUUUUGUGAUUGCCUCAGCAGGUGGGUUCCCAAGUGCCUGCUGCCUGGCUGUUGCUGACUGGGCAGGGAAGACCCCUUGAUGUCUGGGGCAACUAGAGCCCCCCUCCCCACCUCCAGGCAUAGCCGCUGCCUCCCUCAGGCAAAGCCAUCCUUGCCUGCAGGCUGGCCGCCUCUCACCCUCCCUCGCUGUUCCAAGGCAGAGUGAAUCCCCCGCAAGUUCAUGGGAGCAGUUGCUGCUGCCGGGUCCCUGCAGAGGGAGGGCCCCCCUCAGAUGAUGGGGGUCCCCUCAGAUGACAGCUGUCUUCUCUUCGCCCAGCAGCCAAUAGGUCCUCAUCUUCCCUUUGCCCUGCCAGAAAGCAGACAGGUGAAGCGCUCUUGCCCCCUUUCUUGCAAUGCAGCCCCCCCCAAGCAGUGAAAGUGAGAGGCACACCUCCACUUUGCACUCCUUCCCCUUCCCCCCCCCCAUGCAAGGCCCAGCCUGUUCCUUCCCAUGCCCGCCUUCAUCUCUACGUCCCCCUGGAGCUCCAGCAGAAAGCAGCCAAACUCAUCCAGGAUCUCCUUGGCAGAGAUGUGGAUCUUCAAGGCUGGAAGGAACAGGGGCAGGAGAGUGAGUGCCCCCCAGGAUCCCCUGCCAAAGGGGCCCAGUGGCAUACUUGGGA